AUGGUACCGUCAAGCCUCACGGGUAUUGACCGUGAGGUUUUCUUCCCAAUCUGACAGAGUUUUACGACCACUAGGGCCUUCAUCACUCACGCGGCGUCGCUCCGUCAGGGUUUCCCCCAUUGCGGAAGCUUCU
rnacentral:rRNA from 1 species